rnacentral:rRNA from 1 species
GUCUGUACUGACACUGAUGCGCGAAAUCGUGGGAGCACACAGGAUUAGAUACCCUGGUAGUCCACGCAGUAAACGAUGAGUGCUAAGUGUUAGAGGGUUUCCGCCCUUUAGUGCUGAAGUUAACGCAUUAAGCACUCCGCCUGGGGAGUACGGCUGCAAGGCUGAUACUCAAAGGAAUUGACGGGUGCCCGCACAAGCGGUGGAGCAUGUGGUUUAAUUCGAAGCAACGCGAAGAACCUUACCAGGUCUUGACAUCCUCUGACAACCCUAGAGAUAGGGCUUCCCCUUCGGGGGCAGAGUGACAGGUGGUGCAUGGUUGUCGUCAGCUCGUGUCGUGAGAUGUUGGGUUAAGUCCCGCAACGAGCGCAACCCUUGAUCUUAGUUGCCAUCAUUAAGUUGGGCACUCUAAGGUGACUGCCGGUGACAAACCGGAGGAAGGUGGGGAUGACGUCAAAUCAUCAUGCCCCUUAUGACCUGGGCUACACACGUGCUACAAUGGACGGUACAAAGAGCUGCAAGACCGCGAGGUGGAGCUAAUCUCAUAAAACCGUUCUCAGUUCGGAUUGUAGGCUGCAACUCGCCUACAUGAAGCUGGAAUCG